CUCUACUGGUUUUAUUUUUCUGACGGUUUUUAAGAAAUUUAUUAUUUGGGUCGAUCGACGAUGAAGCGAAACUGCGAGUUAGAGCUUGGCCUUCAACGUCGCAAUUCGAUUUUGUGUGUGUUCGCAAUUUUUUGCAACAAUGCCACAGUAACGAGCCUUUCGACAUAACACACCACCAUCCCCAGAUUCUUCACAAUGGACGCCGAUGCUUCAUCGAUGUUACAGAAAUUCAGGCAAGGGUGAUAAUAUGGUUGGCAAAUAGAGAAAUGGAGGAGAGAGUGGGAAGGAGAGGAUCAUCAUCAUCAACUUCAUCAUCAUCAUCAUCAUCAUCAACAACAACAACAUCAUCAUCAUUAUCAUCUUCAUUUUGGGUGCAAUCUCAAGCUUUGAUGUAUGGAAGUGGUGGUCAUGGUCAUGGAGGCCUCUCUCUGAAGAAAUCUCUUCAGAGCUUUCUGCAGAAGAGAAAGAAAAGGACACAACAAGAGACAAAGUCACAAUGUGAUCACUGUGAAUAAAAAAAAAAAAAACUAAAACUAAAACAAUAUUCCUCUUUCACACAACCACACAAAUAUUCACCAUUUUUAGUUAAAGAUUUGCAUCAUAGAUCAUUCCUGGCCCCAUGCAUGUUCAUCCCCAUCCGGUGAAAUUCUUCAUGUGCUGCUACCUAUUAUUGCUUUUA